rnacentral:rRNA from 1 species
AAAUUGAAGAGUUUGAUCAUGGCUCAGAUUGAACGCUGGCGGCAGGCCUAACACAUGCAAGUCGAGCGGCAGCGGGAAAGUAGCCUGCUACUUUUGCCGGCGAGCGGCGGACGGGUGAGUAAUGCCUGGGGAUCUGCCCAGUCGAGGGGGAUAACUACUGGAAACGGUAGCUAAUACCGCAUACGCCCUACGGGGGAAAGCAGGGGACCUUCGGGCCUUGCGCGAUUGGAUGAACCCAGGUGGGAUUAGCUAGUUGGUGAGGUAAUGGCUCACCAAGGCGACGAUCCCUAGCUGGUCUGAGAGGAUGAUCAGCCACACUGGAACUGAGACACGGUCCAGACUCCUA